CCCGUAGAUGUUCUGGGCCGCACGCGCGCUACACUGACGAUGGCAACGAGUUUUUCCUUCGCCGAAAGGUGUGGGUAAUCUUUUGAAACAUCGUCGUGCUGGGGAUAGAUCAUUGCAAUUUUUGAUCUUGAACGAGGAAUUCCUAGUAAGCGCGAGUCAUCAGCUCGCGUUGAUUACGUCCCUGCCCUUUGUACACACCGCCCGUCGCUACUACCGAUUGAAUGGUUUAGUGAGGACUCCUGAUUGGCGCCGCCGCCCCGGCAACGGAGCAGCGGACUGCCGAAAAGUUGUUCAAACUUGAUCAUUUAGAGGAAGUAAAAGUCGUAACA
rnacentral:rRNA from 1 species